UACGGGGGGGGCAAGCGUUGUUCGGAAUUACUGGGCGUAAAGGGCCAGUAGGCGGCCAACUAAGUCGGAUGUGAAAUCCCCAGGCUCAACUUGGGAACUGCAUCCGAUACUGGAUGGCUUGAAUUCGGGAGAGGGAUGCAGAAUUCCAGGUGUAGCGGUGAAAUGCGUAGAUAUCUGGAGGAAUACCGGUGGCGAAGGCGGCAUCCUGGACCGACAUUGACGCUGAACAGCGAAAGCUAGGGGAGCAAACGGG
rnacentral:rRNA from 1 species